UACGUAGGGUGCAAGCGUUAAUCGGAAUUACUGGGCGUAAAGCGUGCGCAGGCGGUUGUGCAAGACGGAUGUGAAAUCCCCGGGCUUAACCUGGGAAUUGCAUUCGUGACUGCACGGCUAGAGUGUGUCAGAGGGGGGUAGAAUUCCACGUGUAGCAGUGAAAUGCGUAGAUAUGUGGAGGAAUACCGAUGGCGAAGGCAGCCCCCUGGGAUAACACUGACGCUCAUGCAACGAAAGCGUGGGGAGCAAACAGG
rnacentral:rRNA from 1 species